GGGGCCUGAUAAGGGAAUAAAAGCAGGCCAUCAGAGCCAGCCAUGGCAACGUGGUGUGGUCCCCUUCUGCACUGUGGAAGCUUUGUUCUUUGGCUCUUCACAGUGAAUCUUCCUAUUGCCUACUCUUCGGGUCUGUGCCACCUUUAUGAGCUGUAACACUCACUGGGAAGUUCUGCAGUUUCACUCCUGAGGCCAGCAAGACCACGAACCCACUGGAAGGAAUGAACAACUCCAGAGGUGCCACCUUUAAUAGCUAUAACACUCACCUUGAAGGUCUGCAGCUUCACUUGUGAAGUGAGCAAGACCACGAACCCACCCAAAGGAAGAAACUCCGGACACAUCUGAACAUCUGAAGGAACAAACUCCAGACACACCUUAUCUAAGAACUGUAACACUUACCGCGAGGGUCCGCAGCUUCAGUCUGGAAGUCAGCGAGACCAAGAACCGACCAAUUCUGGACACAUUAAGCAUGGAAGCCUUUCCAGUUGUGAGUAAUUUGCUGAUUCAUUGUCAAGAGGAGACAAAUGAAACAAAAGGGAAAAUUCGUGUGCUGCUUAAACACAGAAUGAACGAGCUUUGUGGACUACUGGGCCCAGCUGAAUGGUUCUCACCUGAGGUCUGUCAUGUAGUAGAGGAAGCUGCAGUCAGCAGAAGGCGUGACUGAUUGCAUGCCAAAAAUGGCUCACUCACAUGGGUGGAAUUUGAUGCCAGUUCCUGGUUGAGAGCUCAGCUAUGGCUAUUGACUGGAUAUCUACACAGGGCUGUCCUUGUGGCAUGGGAGUCUCACAAUGACAACUGAGUUCUCAGAAGGAGAGUGCCUACAGCACGCACUCCAAAAGAGCUUUCCUUCCUUCUGGGUGUGGGGCAGGACUGUCUCUGGAAUGGGGGUCUUAUGACCUACAGUCAAAUAAGGUAGGUCAGUAGAGACGGGGUUUCACCGUGUUAGCCAGGAUGGUCUCGAUCUCCUGACCUCGUGAUCCGCCCGCCUUGGCCUCCCAAAGUGCUGGGAUUACAGGCGUGAGCCACCGCGCCCGGCCCAGAUGUGUGAUUGCUUUUACAACAAUUUAGAGCUGUAACAGAGGACAGAGGAACGCGGGCAAAAGAAAAACAGAAAGGAGAGAAAACUGUUAAAUUUCUGCUUAUCCCCUUCAUGACAAAUGGUUUGUUUUGGCGGUUGGUUGCACAAGGCCUGUUAUGGGUUCCUUAUAAUUUCAUUCGCUCCUAUUUCACUGACUGUUCCCAUUAGCAUAAAUAAGACAAAAUGAACAAAUUCCCUCUGUCCUGGUGUCAUAAAUUCUGAAAGACAAAAACCAAAAUAAAAGAAUGCGAUUCAGUACAAGAGGACAAUGGAAGUGCUAGCAUUACUGACAACAAUGAUCUUACCUAGAGCAGUACUAAAAUAAUUUUUGCCCUAAAUGGUUCGUAAAGGAUUGAAGAGAAGCUGGACUGGCUAUACACACAAAUCAAAUAGGAUAUUUUAUAUUCAAAAAGGAAAGGAGGCUAACAUUUUAAAAUGACUACUGUGGGACAUACUUUGUCACCAUGUUAUUUCAUUCAGCAUUCACAAUAAAAUAUAUUUUUUUAUUUGUUGUUCCUUUUUAUUUGUUGAAGGAAAGACUAAGAAAAAGACAGUUUUCUUAAUCAGUCCUUUGCUUAAGGAUCGCUUAAGGCAACCCAAUUAAAUGGCAGAGCUAGUAAUUUAAUUCAGUCCUGCAAGAUGUACUUCCUAAAGUGCCAUAUCCACUUAAAAUGGAAAAAGAAUGUAGGCAAACCUUGAAGCUUGGCAGGAGAAAGCAAGACGUAAAAAGACUUGGGAACUAGAGGAGUGAGUGAGAUGUAUAAUCCUUUGUUUUGUUUUAAUUUUGAAUAAGAGGAUUAAGGAAUAUUUUGCCUUGAUAUCCUUCUCUGAAACUGGUUAAAAAUAAAUGUUCUGUUCUUCAUAGAUGAAAACUGAAGGUAUCCUAAAUUGGCUGUACAGGCUUUCUGAUAGGCAGUAAGAUUUUCUUCCAUGACUCCUGGAUAACGUAAGACUCCCCGCUGACAUGCCCUCAUCCCUGAUUAGAACUAUUUAAACCAUAAGGAAUCCCUAGAUGUUCCCCUGUAUUUGCUUCUACAAAUGUUAUUAAUUUUGCUUUUAUAUAGAAUCAAGACCUUUAUAAGUUAGUUUUAAGGGGUAGUGUUAGGUAGAGGUCAAGGUUAAAUUAAAAUUUUACUUGUUCCCUUUUUUGACAAAUAGUUUGAUUUGGACGCAGGUUGUAACAAGGACGGUCAUGGGUUAGAAACUUAGAAAGAUUACAUAACUUCUCAAAAGUCAUCACGCUAUUAAGUAGAGGAGCCAGGACUAACUGCAGGAAAUCUUUCUCUCUAAUCUGUGCUCUGGACCACUGAAAUUAACCCCUUUUCAAGGGAUUAUUGAAAUUAUGGUAAAUAAUUCACUGUUGUUACUGCCACCCUAUUAUAAAUUAAACUCAUGUAAACUUUUGUUGUUUCUAGACUGUCGUUGAUUUAUUUAUGUUUAACCAAUACUAUACUGUUUAUUCUUUUGAUAUCAUGCAGGAAAUAAUGCUCAUUUAUAUAUUUUUUCAUGGGUUUAAUGAGCUAGAAUUGACAUACAAUAAACUAGAGUCUUUCUUUCAUCCUUUCUCUUUUCUUAGGCAACCACUGAUUUGCUCUAUGUUAUCAUAGAUUAAUUUCCAUUUUCUAGAAUUUUAAAAAUGGAAUCAUACAAUACAUACUCUUAUGUGUCUUUUUCACUAAGCAUAAUUAUCUUUUUAGGUUUCUCAGUAGAUUUUUUAUUGCUAGGUAGUAUUUAAUUGUUGGAAUGUGCCAUAAUUUCUUUGUUCAUUCUUCUCUUGAUGGGCAUUUGCAUUAUUUAUGUUUCUGUGCGAUUACAAAUAAAGCUGCUAC